rnacentral:piRNA from 1 species
UGUCAUUGUGGAUACGAUGAUGUGUCU